GGUGGCUCAGUUGGUAGAGUGCUUGUCUCGCAUGCAUGAGGCCCUGGGUUCGAUUCCUAGCACCA
rnacentral:tRNA from 1 species